CUUCUCCGUGAAGUAGGGCACGUGAGCGUCGGCAGCGUCGAUCAGCGCCGGCUCGUCGCGGUUCAAAGACAGACGCUCAAGCAGACAUUUCGUCUCCCUGGACAUAUAUUACAUAUAAUACCUAAGUAUGUGUACUGCUAGUCGUCUCGGGUAGGAUUUGCACUGGCAUAGCAUCACCAGAGCCAAGGCCUCAGCGCCCCUGACUACCGCCGCCAACUCCUUGGCUGCGCCCUCGCCAGUCUUCCAGCUGGUGAUCAGCUGCAACAGCAUCCGAAGACCGUUCUCGACCAGUUGAGGAGACGUGUCCUAUAAAUAUCAAAUGAGAAUCAACCAAUACAUCCUGCCGCCACUCUGGGAAGUCCACUAUGAGGGUCUGGAGACUUUGGAAGGACAGGCCUCGGAGCUCCUCGUCCAUGUGGACAGUUAGACGACAGAGGAGAUCCACCAGCUCACUAGGACUCAUCCCUUCUGGAAUUAACCUGGAAAAUAAAAACGGGAAGUAUUGCGCACACUCCUGGAGGAACUGGAAGGAGGCCUCGAACUGCUCGAUGGGGACCAUCUUCACACGAAAAAACUUCAUACCCAUUAACAGGGAUAUUAUGCUCUGGGUUGUGUGCGGCGACGGCUCACGACUCUUCAGCUCCUUAUAUAUUAUUUAUAUUUUAUUAGAAAAAGAAACUUCGACAUAAUACAUUAUAACAUAAAAAUUUGUUUAAAUACUAUUAUUCAUCGCAAGCCUAUAUAUCGGGCAUUAUUUUUUUAGCUAAUAAUAAAAUUAUGUUGCCUCCGAAAAACUUGCGUAUAGUUCCUCAUCAGGAAUUUCCUAACCUUCAAUUCAGCUGUGAAACGUUUCCUGACCGAGGCAAAUCUGGAUUGCGCCAACACGCCGAUAACCUCCGCGUACAAAUCGGCUAUGAUGUGAACAUUUGCUGCGUUGGGAUUUGACUGUAACCUGCAAAUAAAAUGAUUAAACAAAUCUUCAUGGCCGGGAUGAAAUGGCAAUUGUCUUAAGACCUCUAUCAGAGCAAGACAGAACAAGAACUCUACAGCAAGAUCUCGUCUUUCCGCCUGAAGCUCCUCCGAGCUUCUUUCCACCUGUUCUGUG